UCCCGCUCCCUUUCCUCGCUCGCGACACCGGCGACACCCCUCGCCCCCGCCCCACGCCGAUGAUGACCGUGCCCCCACUCCACACCGGCGAUGCCCAUGCUUCCCCCUCUCCCUUCCCUAUCGCCCACGCCAUCGCGGCCGCCUUUCUUCGCCCCACAACACGCUACCGCCUCGUUCCCCUCCGUCAAGUGUCUAUUUUGCGUCGAUCUGUGGCGAGGCGGAAAAACGGGGUCGUGCUGGAGCAGCGCCAGCGUACCGGAUCAGCGGCGAGCCAGACCUGGGCCUCGACGGGGAGGUUGGCUUCUCCCUUCUGCUUUCCUAUGGCGAGGUUCUUGAGGCUCUAAUGUGCGACUGUCGACCGGUCGCCUGCAGGGUGGCGCCGGCGCCGACGGCAAUGUGCGUCCCAGCGUGGUGCCCGUGCCUUCUUCGCUUCGCUCGCCGUGGCCACUCAAGGAAUUUGGUGAACUUAUUUUGGCUUUCGUCUCUGGUUGAUGUGAUUCUGAAAUUGGCUGGGCUGGUUGAUGUGGGCUAGAUGUGAUCUAUGGAUUCCAGGGGAUGAUUCAUGUGCUGAGUUUUCUCUGAUUGUGAUUGUUCAUGUCUCCAUGAUGAUUCUUGUGGAUCAGAAACUUGAGUUUAUUCUGCCUUGAAGAAUUCUCCAAAGGUUCAGAAAUGCGUACAAAUUCUGCAGGAUAAGCAAGAUCUUGUUGAAACUCAAAACGAUCUUGUUAAACUUCAGAUUGCAUAUGAAGAUCCUGCACAAAAGAGUGAAGGUACUGCCCCAUCAGUUUUUAUGGCCAGGGAAAAUUAUGGCAGCUUCCCAGGUGCAAAACACGAGCUUGCCCUUGUCCCGCUGCACCAAGUAAAUGCUACGCAGUCUCAAGUGCUAUCAAGAGAAGAGUGGCAAAUUUUAAUUCAAACAGAGCAGAGAAGAGCAGAGUGGCAAAACAAACCAUCCAGCAAUCCGUCCAUCCAUCCAACUAUCUAUCUAUCUGGAGUAGGAGUACAUUUGAAGGGAACACCAACAGAGUACAUUUGAGAAGAUGAAGAAUAUGAAGAAGAAGAAGAAGAAGAAGAAGAAGAUGAGAAUAUGAAGAAGAAGAAGAAGAAGAAGACAAAGAAUAUGAAAAAGAAGAAGAAGAUAUUGUAAUGACCUUGUACAUCUUGUACAUCCUUGUAUUGACCUUGUACAUCUUGUAAUGACUACUCUAAUAUCAAUGAAGAUAUUAUUCAAAUAA